rnacentral:rRNA from 1 species
UGAGGAACCUGCCCCUGGCUCUGGGAUAACUCCGGGAAACCGGAGCUAAUACCGGAUACGAGACCGAUUGGCAUCUUUACGGUCUGGAAAGUUUUUCGGCCAGGGAUGGGCUCGCGGCCUAUCAGCUUGUUGGUGGGGUAACGGCCCACCAAGGCGACGACGGGUAGCCGGCCUGAGAGGGCGACCGGCCACACUGGGACUGAGACACGGCCCAGACUCCUACGGGAGGCA